rnacentral:rRNA from 1 species
AGGACGAACGCUUGCGGCGUGCCUAAGAAAUGCAAGUCGAGCGGAAGUAGCAAUACUUUAGCGGCGAACGGUCGCGUAACACGUAGCCAACCUGCCCAGAAGACCGGGACAACACUCCGAAAGGGGUGCUAAUACCGGAUGUGCCCAUUUUGCCACAUGGCUUAAUGAGUAAAUCAUUUAUGGCUUCUGGAGGGGGCUGCGGCCUAUCAGCUAGAUGGUGGGGUAAUGGCCUACCAUGGCGUCGACGGGUAGCUGGUCUGAGAGGAUGGUCAGCCGGACUGGGACUGAGAUACGGCCCAGACUCCUACGGGGGCAGCAAUUAGGAAUCUUGCGCAAUGGGGGCAACCCUGACGCAGCGACGCCGCGUGGAGGAUGACGGCCUUCGGGUUGUAAACUCCUUUUAUCGGGAAGAAACAAAGUGACGGUACCCGAUAGAAUAAGCCCCGGCUAACUCCGCGCCAGCAGCCGC